rnacentral:rRNA from 1 species
UUGACCUCGGAUCAGGUAGGAAUACCCGCUGAACUUAAGCAUAUCAAUAAGCGGAGGAAAAGAAACCAACAGGGAUUCCCCUAGUAACGGCGAGUGAAGCGGGAACAGCUCAAAUUUGAAAUCUGGCCCU